rnacentral:lncRNA from 1 species
AGCUGUGUCCUGGCUCCCUCUGUCUGUCUGCAAAGACGGACAGCUCUGACUCGCUCUCUCUUUCUCUGGGCGCCUGCGCGCCCACCAUGUCAAGCCAUUUGAGGCGAGCCGAGAGCCCCAGAGCCAUGUCUCUGGUGCACAGUGUUAACAGGGCAGUUAUACCUUUUACAGACAACUGUGGCUCCAAGUCAAGUAUGAACUUACACAAACAGUUUAUAUAACAACUGGAGGUGUGCGCCUGCAUGCCAAACUUGCUGACUCAUGCAGGCCUGGAUACCCGCCUCAGCCUAUUCCUUGACCGAAGCACUUCCAGGGCAGGCAACUGAAGCUCUUGGGAAGGCAGAAGUUGCACGUGGUCUCAUAGUCAACUGUGCCAGAAUAGGAGGCCAGGAACCACCUCUGUUGAAGGAAGACCCACCACGCAUCCCUUCACGAAUGCCAAGGUCCAGAGCAAGCGCUUCCCUUCUAUGGGCACAGGAGGGCUCUGGGAGCCCACAAAAUGUGCUUCUGGCCAGAGUGGGAUCCCCAAGGAAGAUGUUAAGACCUCUAUAAUAUUUAAGAGCAAAAUUAACACAGCUCCAGCCCAUGGGCAAGUUAGAGACAGGAGUGGUGUCUGUAGAGUGGAGGAAAGCAGAGGCUGCCGCUGACAGUCCUGCAACCCUUGCUCUGGCUGCUCACAGCUCUCCACCUUCUCUGGACUUUGUCACUUCAGUAUGUGAAACAACCGUUUCAACCAGCUUGGACAAAAGAGAGAAGCCAAGAUGGGGCUGAGAAACCAAUGCAGGCAGGCCCAGGGACCCAGGAGUCAGGGACCAGGCGCUACCGUAUGCUUGCUCCGACUCGUGUUGCUGCUGUCUUCUCUGUGCCUCAACUCUGUCCUCUGUCACUGCAGGCAGCUUCCUCCCAAGGUGCACAUUGGUUUGUUUAGUAAACACUGAGACCAACUCCACCAUCCAGAGGCCUGACAGACAAACGGCCUGAGACAGGGCUGGGAAAGUUUUGCUUCUGGAUGGGAAUUCAGGAAGAGUUUUUUUUUGUUGUUUUUUUCCCCCAAGGGAACAAGCCCUUGAAUCCGGGAGGCCGAGGUUGCGGUGAACCGAGAUUGCGCCAUUGCACUCCAGCCUGGGCAACAAGAGCGAAACUCUGUCUCAAAAAAAU